rnacentral:sRNA from 1 species
UACACACAGCGAAGAGGGCCUCAGCCCACAGCCCACCUGGCGCCUCCUGGCUAUGCUGGCCGGGCUCUAUGCCUUCUUCCUGUUUGAGAACCUCUUCAAUCUCCUGCUGCCCAGGGACCCGGAGGUCAGGCUUCUUGGGAAGGUACCCGGCGGGUGGGUGUGCUGGGGGCCUGGUGGACACUGAGCACCUACCCUCACAGGACCUGGAGGACGGGCCCUGCGGCCACAGCAGCCAUAGCCACGGGGGCCACAGCCACGGUGUGUCCCUGCAGCUGGCACCCAGCGAGCUCCGGCAGCCCAAGCCCCCCCACGAGGGCUCCCGCGCAGACCUGGUGGCGGAGGAGAGCCCGGAGCUGCUGAACCCUGAGCCCAGGAGACUGAGCCCAGAGUUGAGGCUACUGCCCUAUGUGAUCACUCUGGGCGAUGCCGUGCACAAC